rnacentral:rRNA from 1 species
UACGAAGGGGGCUAGCGUUGUUCGGAAUUACUGGGCGUAAAGCGCACGUAGGCGGAUAUCUAAGUCAGGGGUGAAAUCCCAGAGCUCAACUCUGGAACUGCCUUUGAUACUGGGUAUCUCGAGUAUGGAAGAGGUGAGUGGAAUUCCGAGUGUAGAGGUGAAAUUCGUAGAUAUUCGGAGGAACACCAGUGGCGAAGGCGGCUCACUGGUCCAUUACUGACGCUGAGGUGCGAAAGCGUGGGGAGCAAACAGG